UACGGAGGGUGCAAGCGUUGUUCGGAAUUAUUGGGCGUAAAGGGCGUGUAGGUGGCUCGCCAAGUCUGGUGUGAAAGCCCACGGCUCAACCGUGGAACUGCAUUGGAAACUGGCGAGCUCGAGUAUUGGAGGGGGUCGCGGAAUUCCCGGUGUAGAGGUGAAAUUCGUAGAUAUCGGGAGGAACACCAGUGGCGAAGGCGGCGACCUGGCCAAUUACUGACACUGAGACGCGAAAGCGUGGGGAGCAAACAGG
rnacentral:rRNA from 1 species